UACGUAGGGCGCAAGCGUUAUCCGGAAUUAUUGGGCGUAAAGAGCUCGUAGGCGGUUUGUCGCGUCUGCUGUGAAAGUCCGGGGCUCAACCCCGGGAGGCGGGCGGAUACUGUCGGGCUAGAGUCCGGAAGAGGCGAGUGGAAUUCCUGGUGUAGCGGUGAAAUGCGCAGAUAUCAGGAGGAACACCAAUGGCGAAGGCAGCUCGCUGGGACGGUACUGACGCUGAGGCGCGAAAGCGUGGGGAGCAAACAGG
rnacentral:rRNA from 1 species